rnacentral:rRNA from 1 species
AUUGAACGCUGGCGGCAGGCCUAAUACAUGCAAGUCGAACGAGUUGCGGACGGGUGAGUAAUGUUCGGGAAACUGCCUGAUGGCGGGGGAUAACUACUGGAAACGGUAGCUAAUACCGCAUACCAUCGGAUGUGCCCAGAUGGGUUUAGCUAGUAGGUGGGGUAACGGCUCACCUGGGCGACGAUCCCUAGCCGGUCUGACAGGAUGACCGGCCACACUGGAACUGAGAAACGGUCCAGACUCCGCCGGGAGGCAGCAGUGGGGAAUAUUGCAAAAUGGGCGAAAGCCUGAUGCAGCCAUGCGGCGUGUGGGAGGAAGGCCUUCGGGUUGUAAAGCACUUUCAGCGGGGAGGCGUUACCCGAAGAAGAAGCACCGGCUAACUCCGUGCCAGCCGCCGCGGUAAUAC